rnacentral:rRNA from 1 species
UCGGACGGGGGAGUAACGCGUGGGAAACCUAGCCCUCGUACCGGGGGAUAACAACUUAGAAAUAAGGUGCUAAUACCGCAUAAGCGCACAGCUUCACAUGAGGCAGUGUGAAAAACUCCGGUGGUACAGGAUGGUCCCGCGUCUGAUUAGCCAGUUGGCAGGGUAACGGCCUACCAAAGCGACGAUCAGUAGCCGGCCUGAGAGGGUGAACGGCCACAUUGGGACUGAGACACGGCCCAA